CCCACUUUCCCUCUCCAACCUAUCCAAAUCAUUGCCUGUUUUUUCACCAGCUUGACCCCAAAGGCCAAAACCCAUAGACCAAAUUACCUUUGCCAAACUGACCUUUGUGUUCAAUGUUCAUUGGUAAGUUGGAGAGUGGGGUAAGCAAUUGUCGGGCAAUUAGACUUAUAUUUCACCUGGGUUUGGCUAAGUUUUGUGUUUAUCUUAGCAAACUUACAAAAACCCAAAGUGUCAUUGAUCUUGUUGAUAAGAUAUCUGCAUUCUAACUUGAAGUGAACUUGGGAAACUCUCG
rnacentral:lncRNA from 1 species